GCUGGGCAUGGUGGUGCAUGCCUGUAAUCCCAGAUACUUGGGAGGCUGAGGCAGGAGAAUCGCUUGAGCCUGGGAUGUGGAGGUUGCGGUGAGCAGAGAUCGCACCACUGCACUCCAGCCUGGGCAACAGAGUGAGACUCCGUCUCAA
ensembl:misc_RNA Metazoa_SRP Metazoan signal recognition particle RNA